rnacentral:rRNA from 1 species
UAAGUAUAAGCAAUUAUACAGCGAAACUGCGAAUGGCUCAUUAUAUAAGGUAUCGUUUAUUUGAUAGUACCUUACUACUUGGAUAACCGUGGUAAUUCUAGAGCUAAUACAUGCUAAAAACCCCGACUUCGGGAGGGGUGUAUUUAUUAGAUUAAAAACCAAUGCCCUUCGGGGCUCAAUGGUGAUUCAUGAUAACUUCUCGAAUCGCACGGCCUUGCGCCGGCGAUGGUUCAUUCAAAUUUCUUCCCUAUCAACUUUCGAUGUUUGGGUAUUGGCCAAACAUGGUUGCAACGGGUAACGGAGGGUUAGGGCUCGACCCCGGAGAAGGAGCCUGAGAAACGGCUACUACAUCCAAGGAAGGCAGCAGGCGCGCAAAUUACCCAAUCCCGACACGGGGAGUAGUGACAAUAAAUACUGAUACAGGGCUCUUUAGGGUCUUGUAAUCGGAAUGAGUACAAUUUAAAUCCCUUAAUAAUUCAGCUCCAAUAGCGUAUAUUAAAGUUGUUGUGGUUAAAAAGCUCGUAGUUGAACCUUGGGCCUGGCUGGCCGGUCCGCCUCACCGCGUGUACUGGUCCGGCCGGGCCUUUCCCUCUGUGGAACCCCAUGCCCUUCACUGGGUGUGGCGGGGAAACAGGACUUUUACUUUGAAAAAAUUAGAGUGCUCCAGGCAGGCCUAUGCUCGAAUACAUUAGCAUGGAAUAAUAAAAUAGGACGUGCGGUUCUAUUUUGUUGGUUUCUAGGACCGCCGUAAUGAUUAAUAGGGGACAGUCGGGGGCAUCAGUAUUCAAUUGUCAGAGGUGAAAUUCUUGGAUUUAUUGAAGACUAACUACUGCGAAAGCAUUUGCCAAGGAUGUUUUCAUUAAUCAGGAACGAAAGUUAGGGGAUCGAAGACGAUCAGAUACCGUCGUAGUCUUAACCAUAAACUAUGCCGACUAGGGAUCGGACGGUGUUAUUUUU